CAUAUCAACACAGGACAAAGAUGAGCCGUCCUUCAGUGAGCCCGUGACAGCCGAAGGGGAAGGUGCUGCUCUGCCCUCUGACCUCACCUGCCCGACUACGGAGUUGAGCCCCCCGUGACCUGACCUGACCUGACCCUUACUCCGAGAUGGCCCAAGACGAUGGAGAAAAGAGAGGACUCGCUGUUUGCUGCCUCUACAUCAUCGCUCUCGCCUUCGCCGCUACAUUCCUCAGUAUUGGGUUCGUCUACCUCCACCGCUGCCCCCUGGAGCCCCUCAUCCCUGUGUUUCUAAUUGUUUACGAAAGCCCUUGACGAGAUACCACACGAGCGACUCUUUGAUAAACGUAAGGCGGCGGCAUUAGGAGACGAUCUGAACGCGUGGACAAGAGACUGGCUCGCAGGGAGAAAACAGCGAGUUGUGCUCAGCGGGCAGCCAGGCCUCCGAGGGGCUCCCGGCCACAGGUUUUACAGCGGGCUUCUUCGUGGCCACUGAUAUGGUGUUCUGGAUGUGCGAUAUCUCCGCUUCCACCGUCGUGAUGGUGAUCCGCGCAAUCGGAGCUCUCUUCGGCUUCGCGUGGAUGAUUGCAGGUUGUGUUUGGGUGUUCCGCACGGACCGCCCGCCGCCCAACGCCACUGUAGAGGGGAAUGGCUGUGACCCCGUCGUAUACAACGCCGCCUACGUCCUCGUCAUCCUUGCAUUAAUCUCCUGGGGCACAUCCAUCCUGGGCAAGCUGUGCUCCUGCCUCUGCGGCUCGAGAUAGCUCCAGUAGCGAUGGGGUACGGUUAGCUUACAGCCCCUGUCUCUCUCUCAAGAACGGUUUUCUAUAAGCUAUGUUGUGUUCAGAUGGUUUAAGCUCAGUCAGUCAGUCAGUCAAUGGGGGCAUAUCCCUGGGGGCGCGUCGCCUCUCCCGCCCUACGACGCCGCCCCGAGGGUUCCUCCGGGCAAGGCUCCCUAUCCCAAGUAUUCCUUUAUCUACUUGCUUCAGCCACGAACUCUGUGGGCGCUCCCUUGUAGCUGAGGAGAGCUGGGGAUUUACUUUGAGGCUAACAUGAGGCUGCAUCCUCAGGCCCAGGGCAUUAAUUCAGGGGGCCUCCAAUGAGUUUUUUUUUUAUUUAUUUUUUUACGUGGCGGCCUAUUGCGCCGUUAGGCUUUUUCAGUGGUGGGGCUUGAUGGUCGGCAGCCACGUGUCAGCUCUGGAGUCGGCAGGGUUUGGAGGCUUUUACUGAGACUUUCCAUCCGUGUGUCACUCAGUAAGCAUUUUUAGUGAUUUCAAACAAGUGCUUGUCAGACAUUUGAUUACACGGAGAAACUAACCAGACGGACUCUGUUGACGAGACGGGGACACACUCAAGACGGGUCUGCGACACGUCAGGUUCACCCUCGUGGCUGUCUCUGGGCCUCGAGGGCUCACUCAGCCUCGGUUAUGUACUGCUGACUCGUCAACCCUCAUUGGUAAGGGUUCGGUCUCCUCAGCUCCAGUAACACUGUACGGAGUUUGUUAUGGAAAUGUAUACAACAGUUGUCAAAACUCUCAAACAGACAUGAGACAGUUUGUAAUGUGCAUUGAAUGCCGAUGAUUUCAUGGAUCUGCUGACUAGGUUAUUACUGUGCCAGGGAUAAGUGAGCAGGCAAGGCGGGAGUGUCUGGAUAGAGAAAGUUGGAAGCUCUUCUGCCGUGGCCAUCCCCUCGUGGGAGUUCCUAGGAGCAGGCGUCGAUGAAAUGAUGUUGAAAAGUGUAAAUUAAGCAGUAAAAUAUUUCCAGUGUCUUCUGUUGGUCAGGUUUGUAAGCAAAUUCACCUCCUUAUGAUUACAAUAAAAAUUAUGAUACAGUAAAACAACAAACCAAUCCUUUCAAUACAAACCAAACAACACCUGCCCGCACGUGACGGCCAGUACUGUUGUUCGCUUCGACACAUGCGCGGAAACAAAGUACGAGAAAUGAAACACAUGCUCUAUAGGAAAGCGCCCCAUGACCUGACCUGACCCCGGGCACUGCUGGCCGCGCCUGCUGAAGUUGGUAUUAUAAAACACCUUCGCUUCUCACAUCAACUAUUUCUAAAGGUCAAAGAGGGGGUCAGUCGGGUUCUAAUGUGUGUUUCUUUAGGGUCACGGUACAGAGGAAGGGUCAGACUACCACCAGGGUCAUAAAACUACCCCUGGAAAUGCCCACAACUCCUACGAAAGCCUUGUCAAAUAUGUGUUUCUUAGGUCCACAGUACAGAGGAAGGGUCACACUACCACCAGGGUCAUAAAACUACCCCUGGAAAUGCCCACAACUCCUACGAAAGCCUUGUCAAAUAUGUGUUUCUUAGGUCCACAGUACAGAGGAAGGGUCACACUACCACCAGGGUCAUAAAACUACCCCUGGAAAUGCCCACAACUCCUACGAAAGCCUUGUCAAAUAAGUGAACUUGGGCAUCGAAAUGUUUAGUAAUAAGGCAUUGGCUCCCACCACCCCCAAAAUGAUGAAAGGACACGGAGAAGAGCGCUGAGGCAAUGAACCAAAAUAAAAAACAUAAGUAAAAAUCAAUUCAUCCAUUUUUCACUAUCCUUCACUUCCCGCCAAAAAGCAAGGAAGGCUACGGAGGUGAGCGCGGAGGCAAUGAACGCAAGCGGGAAACAGAGACACAAAAGUAAAUUAAUACAGUUUUGUUUAUAGUUUUUUUUCUUUAUUUCCGCCAAAACAAAAGAGGUCGGCGUAACAAUGUAUAUAAAAAAGGAUCGUAAGAGUAAGGACGUGGGAUUAAGUGAACUACAACAGACUUAACGGUAAUAAUAGUAAUAAUAAUAAUAAUAAUAAUAAUAAUAAUAAUAAUAAUAAUAAUAAUAAUAAUAAUAAUAAUAAUAGUAAUAAUGACUAACUUGACAUUUCUUAAUCAACCCUUUCACGCACCAUGUCCAAAAUCGAUUCAAAACUUUCAAAAAUUCGCCAAAAAUAGUUAUCCGUCCACUCCUGCAUGGGUGGACUUCUUUUCUCUGUUGUUGUUGUUGUUUUCGGCAAGGGAGACAGCUCAAAGGCCAUUAAACAAUAAAACCCUUCAGGCGUGGUAGUAGUAGUGGUAGUUGUUGUAGUUGUUGUUGUUUGUGUUUCUCUCUCCCUCUCAUCCCCUCUCCCUCCCUCCCUCCUUCCUUUCCUUCCUCUCUUCCUUCUUUCCUCCCUUCCCUUCCCGAAUGAGAGGUCAAUUUCGGGAUUUGAAUUGACAUUAUGAAUAAUUAUACACUUAUGAUACAUUUCCCAAUAUGUGUUUCAGUCUCCCUCCCUUUCCUCAAAACUAUUGGUCUCGUGAAAGCUUCGAUGGCAGCGUUGGAAGGCUCAUAAAAGUCCGCUGUUAUUGGCUGGGUUGUGGAGUCGGAUACAUUCCCUCUGUGCGUAUGCGUAGUGGACAGCGGAGCGACUUCUUUCUGCGAGGGUCCAGAGAAGAUAGGGUCUGCUCACGCGCAACUUGAAGCCGAUGAGGCGGGGCAAAGCGCGGCUGUGGCUGUGACGUCACGAUAUGUGGGUGCCUCUCUCUCUCUCUCUCUCUCUCUCUCUCUCUCUCUCUGCUUGGAAACUCGCGCAGACCGUUUGAAUUUUGUUCGGCCCGUGAUCAGACCCUGUAUUCUCUGGACCCUGAUUUCUGUUGCGAGGAGCACUGGAGAAACGGGAAAGCGGGAAACGGGGAACUUGUUGCAGCUUCGGAUACGUGAGCGGGUUAAGGGCAAAAAAAAAGGAAAAAAAAAGAAAGAAAAGAAAAGGAGAUUGAAGUGUCUGAAUGAACUUACAGAACAUAUAUUUUUACUUGACUAUGUAUCGAUUUUUUUUUCAACAUUUAUAGUUUCCAAGGACCAAAACAACAAGAGAGACGGUGAUUUUUUUAAGAAUAUAACAAAAAACAAGAAACGGGGAACUUGUUGCAGCUUACGGGGAACUUGUUGCAGCUUCGGGUACAUGAGCGGGUUACGAGGAAAAAAAAAAGAAAAAAAAAAAAAGAAAGUAAAGGAGAUUGAAGUGUCUAAAUUGACUUGCAGUACACAUAUUUUUUCUUGACUAUGUAUUAAUGAUUUUCUUCAACAUUAAUAGUUUCCUAGGACCAAAAAAAAAAAAAAAAAACAA